UUGUGAACUCGACGAGUAGGGCGGGACACGUGUUAUCCUGUCUGAAUAUGGGGGGACCAUCCUCCAAGGCUAAAUACUCCUGAUUGACCGAUAGUGAACCAGUACCGUGAGGGAAAGGCGAAAAGAACCCCGGCGAGGGGAGUGAAAAAGAACCUGAAACCGUGUACGUACAAGCAGUAGGAGCCUCUUUAUGGGGUGACUGCGUACCUUUUGUAUAAUGGGUCAGCGACUUAUAUUCUGUAGCAAGGUUAACCGUAUAGGGGAGCCGUAGGGAAACCGAGUCUUAACUGGGCGAAUGAGUUGCAGGGUAUAGACCCGAAACCCGGUGAUCUAUCCAUGGGCAGGUUGAAGGUUGGGUAACACUAACUGGAGGACCGAACCGACUAAUGUUGAAAAAUUAGCGGAUGACUUGUGGAUGGGGGUGAAAGGCCAAUCAAACCGGGAGAUAGCUGGUUCUCCCCGAAAGCUAUUUAGGUAGCGCCUCGUGAACUCAUCUUCGGGGGUAGAGCACUGUUUCGACUAGGGGGUCAUCCCGACUUACCAACUCGAUGCAAACUGCGAAUACCGAAGAAUGUUAUCACGGGAGACACACGGCGGGUGCUAACGUCCGUCGUGAAGAGGGAAACAACCCAGACCGCCAGCUAAGGUCCCAAAGUCAUGGUUAAGUGGGAAACGAAGUGGGAAGGCUCAGACAGCCAGGAUGUUGGCUUAGAAGCAGCCAUCAUUUAAAGAAAGCGUAAUAGCUCACUGGUCGAGUCGGCCCGCGCGGAAGAUGUAACGGGGCUAAACCAUGCACCGAAGCUGCGGCAGCGACACUAAGUGUUGUUGGGUAGGGGAGCGUUCUGUAAGCCUGCGAAGGUGUACUGUGAGGUAUGCUGGAGGUAUCAGAAGUGCGAAUGCUGACAUAAGUAACGAUAAUGCGGGUGAAAAACCCGCACGCCGGAAGACCAAGGGUUCCUGUCCAACGUUAAUCGGGGCAGGGUGAGUCGACCCCUAAGGCGAGGCUGAAAAGCGUAGUCGAUGGGAAACGGGUUAAUAUUCCCGUACUGGUGGUAACUGCGAUGGGGGAACGGAGAAGGCUAGGUUGUCCGGGCGACGGUCGUCCCGGUUCAAGCAUGUAGGCAGAGUGAUUAGGCAAAUCCGGUCACUUAAUGCUGAGGUGUGAUGACGAGCCACUAAGGUGGUGAAGCAAUUGAUGCCCUGCUUCCAGGAAAAGCCUCUAAGCUUCAGGUUACCAACAAUCGUACCCCAAACCGACACAGGUGGUCAGGUAGAGAAUACUCAGGCGCUUGAGAGAACUCGGGUGAAGGAACUAGGCAAAAUGGUGCCGUAACUUCGGGAGAAGGCACGCUGGCGGUAAGUGAAGUCCCUCGCGGACGGAGCCGAAGCCAGUCGAAGAUACCAGCUGGCUGCAACUGUUUAUUAAAAACACAGCACUGUGCAAACACGAAAGUGGACGUAUACGGUGUGACGCCUGCCCGGUGCUGGAAGGUUAAUUGAUGGGGUUAUCCUUAGGGAGAAGCUCUUGAUCGAAGCCCCAGUAAACGGCGGCCGUAACUAUAACGGUCCUAAGGUAGCGAAAUUCCUUGUCGGGUAAGUUCCGACCUGCACGAAUGGCGUAAUGAUGGCCAGGCUGUCUCCACCCGAGACUCAGUGAAAUUGAACUCGCUGUGAAGAUGCAGUGUACCCGCGGCAAGACGGAAAGACCCCGUGAACCUUUACUAUAGCUUGACACUGAACAUUGAGCCUUGAUGUGUAGGAUAGGUGGGAGACUAAGAAGUGUGGACGCCAGUCUGCAUGGAGUCAACCUUGAAAUACCACCCUUUAACGUUUGAUGUUCUAACCUAGGUCCAUAAUCUGGAUCGGGGACCGUGUCUGGUGGGUAGUUUGACUGGGGCGGUCUCCUCCUAAAGAGUAACGGAGGAGCACGAAGGUUGGCUAAGCAUGGUCGGACAUCAUGCGGUUAGUGCAAAGGCAUAAGCCAGCUUGACUGUGAGAGUGACGGCUCGAGCAGGUACGAAAGUAGGUCUUAGUGAUCCGGUGGUUCUGAAUGGAAGGGCCAUCGCUCAACGGAUAAAAGGUACUCCGGGGAUAACAGGCUGAUACCGCCCAAGAGUUCAUAUCGACGGCGGUGUUUGGCACCUCGAUGUCGGCUCAUCACAUCCUGGGGCUGAAGUAGGUCCCAAGGGUAUGGCUGUUCGCCAUUUAAAGUGGUACGCGAGCUGGGUUUAGAACGUCGUGAGACAGUUCGGUCCCUAUCUGCCGUGGGCGUUGGAAGAUUGAGAGGGGUUGCUCCUAGUACGAGAGGACCGGAGUGAACGCACCACUGGUGUUCGGGUUGUCAUGCCAAUGGCAUUGCCCGGUAGCUAAGUGCGGAAGAGAUAACCGCUGAAAGCAUCUAAGCGGGAAACUUGCCUCGAGAUGAGUCUUCCCUGUCACCUAGAGUGACCUAAAGGAACGUUUAAGACUAAGACGUUGAUAGGCUGGGUGUGUAAGCGUAGCGAUACGUUGAGCUAACCAGUACUAAUGAACCGUGAGGCUUAACCUG
rnacentral:rRNA from 1 species